rnacentral:rRNA from 1 species
UACGGAGGGUGCAAGCGUUAAUCGGAAUUACUGGGCGUAAAGGGUGCGUAGGCGGUUCGUUAAGUCUGUCGUGAAAUCCCCGGGCUCAACCUGGGAAUGGCGAUGGAUACUGGCGAGCUAGAGUGUGUCAGAGGAUGGUGGAAUUCCCGGUGUAGCAGUGAAAUGCGUAGAGAUCGGGAGGAACACCAGUGGCGAAGGCGGCCUUCUGGACCAAUACUGACGCUCAUGCACGAAAGCGUGGGGAGCAAACAGG